UCAUGGCUCAGGAUGAACGCUAGCUACAGGCUUAACACAUGCAAGUCGAGGGGCAUCAGGACAAGCUUGCUUUGUUGCUGGCGACCGGCGCACGGGUGAGUAACGCGUAUCCGACCUACCCAUAACUCGGGCACAGCCGCUCGAAAGAGCGAUUGAUUCCCGAUAUGUCCUUGGAGUAGAUUCAAUGAUGAAAGAUUUAUCGGUUAUGGAUGGGGAUGCGUAAGAUUAGGUAGUAGGCGGGGUAACGGCCCACCUAGCCGACGAUCUUUAGGGGUUCUGAGAGGAAGGUCCCCCACACUGGUACUGAGACACGGACCAGACUCCUACGGGAGGCAGCAGUGAGGAAUAUUGGUCAAUGGGCGGAAGCCUGAACCAGCCAAGUAGCGUGAAGGAUUACAGCCCUACGGGUUUUAAACUUCUUUUAUAUAAGAGUAAUGUGCACUACGUGUAGUGUAUUGCAAGUAUUAUAUGAAUAAGCAUCGGCUAACUCCGUG
rnacentral:rRNA from 1 species